GAGGCGCUGAAAGGUUUCCCUAAUAGUUCCUGGUGAAUCAAAGCAGAACCAUAAAGGUUGCUGGACUGCAUGAUGGCCUUACCCCUGAGCAGUCAUCCUGUUAAAGGAGGAACCAGUUAGAAGCUGUUUUCAAAGUAGCUGAGCAGAUUUCAUCUCAACAGACAAAGCCAAUGGCAGAAGAUGUUUGGAGAAGAACUUCAGGCCGUGUACUGACAAGAUCAAAGCAGCUCGUGCUCUUUCUGCUUCCAUUUUGAUGGCAAGAAGAAGAAGAAGAAGAAGACUUCAGCGAAGUGGCGUUCAUGGUCUCAGUGGACAGUCAUGGUCACAUACUGCAUGUGGUUUUAAAAGCAACAUGUCUGUUCACCACAACAAUCGAGAUGUGUAAUAUUAGUGCAGCUACAGUUUGUUCUUGAACA